rnacentral:rRNA from 1 species
CCUACGGGAGGCAGCAGUGAGGAAUAUUGGUCAAUGGCCGGAAGGCUGAACCAGCCAUGCCGCGUGAAGGUCAGUGCCCUAUGGGCGUUAAACUUCUUUUGUGCGGGAGCAAUAAUGGUCACGUGUGGCCAGACGAGAGUACCGUACGAAUAAGCAUCGGCUAACUCCGUGACAGCAGCCGCGGUAAUACGGGGGAUGCAAGCGUUAUCCGGAUUUAUUGGGUUUAAAGGGUGCGUAGGCUGUGAGGUAAGUCAGCGGUGAAAUGCCCCCGCUCGACGGGGUGAAGUGCCAUUGAUACUGCCUUGCUGGAAUGCGGAUGCGGUGGGAGGAAUGUGUGGUGUAGCGGUGAAAUGCAUAGAUAUCACACAGAACACCGAUUGCGAAGGCAGCUCACGAAUCCGCGAUUGACGCUGAUGCACGAAAGCGUGGGUAUCAAACAGGAUUAGAUACCCGUGUAGUC